GAUGAACGCUAGCGAUAGGCUUAACACAUGCAAGUCGAGGGGCAGCAUGGUCUUAGCUUGCUAAGACUGAUGGCGACCGGCGCACGGGUGCGUAACGCGUAUGCAACUUGCCUCAUAGAGGGGGAUAACCCGUCGAAAGACGGACUAAUACCGCGUACACUCCAUCUUGGGCAUCCAAGGUAGAGGAAAUGAAAUUCGCUGUGAGAUAGGCAUGCGUCCCAUUAGCUAGUUGGUGAGGUAACGGCUCACCAAGGCGACGAUGGGUAGGGGAACUGAGAGGUUGAACCCCCACACUGGUACUGAGACACGGACCAGACUCCUACGGGAGGCAGCAGUGAGGAAUAUUGGUCAAUGGGCGAGAGCCUGAACCAGCCAAGUCGCGUGAAGGAUGACUGUCUUAUGGAUUGUAAACUUCUUUUAUACGGGAAUAACAAGAGUCACGUGUGACUCCCUGCAUGUACCGUAUGAAUAAGCAUCGGCUAACUCCGUG
rnacentral:rRNA from 1 species